CAGUCGCCACGGUAAUACAGAGGGUGCAAGCGUUAAUCGGAAUUACUGGGCGUAAAGCGCGCGUAGGUGGUUCGCCAAGUUGGAUGUGAAAUCCCCGGGCUCAACCUGGGAACUGCAUCCAGAACUGGCGAGCUAGAGUAUGGUAGAGGGUGGUGGAAUUUCCUGUGUAGCGGUGAAAUGCGUAGAUAUAGGAAGGAACAUCAGUGGCGAAGGCGACCACCUGGACUGAUACUGACACUGAGGUGCGAAAGCGUGGGGAGCAAACAGGAUUAGAUACCCCCGUAGUCCCUGUCUCUUAUAC
rnacentral:rRNA from 1 species